rnacentral:rRNA from 1 species
UUAAUACUCCCAUAAUAUUGUAGUAAUCGCCUGAUUAUAUAAAUUAAAGCUACGGCGGUAUAAGAUGAGUAUGCGUCUGAUUAGCUAGUUGGUGAGGUAACGGCUCACCAAGGCGACGAUCAGUAGGGGGCCUGAGAGGGUUAUCCCCCCACACUGGUACUGAGACACGGACCAGACUCCUACGGGAGGCAGCAGUGAGGAAUAUUGGUCAAUGGAGGCAACUCUGAACCAGCCAUGCCGCGUGUAGGAAGAAUGCCCUAUGGGUUGUAAACUACUUUUAUUGGGGAAGAAACCCUUCUACGUGUAGAAGGCUGACGGUACCCAAGGAAUAAGGACCGGCUAACUCCGUG